rnacentral:antisense_RNA from 1 species
GCUUGCGUCCCGGGAGCUCGGCCUUGUGCGCGGCGCUCUGAGCAGCAGACUGCUGGACAAACACUGCGCCAAGAGCUCCUCAGCAGAUGCUCCUCGCAUCAGAUCCUCUGUGCUGGGAAUCCUCCCCUCUCGACCAUACUCUGUGCUCCUCUUCCAGUUACGGUGCAUGUGAAGCAAUGGUAUGGGAAAAUUGUUUGCAGAAGGAUGAAAAGGCUUUAUUCCCAAACUAAACUGGACCAGGAAAGUCUCGUGAGGAGCUGAUCCCAUCGCACCAAGCUCUAACUACCUGAUGUAACAGGAAGCCGGGGGGGCGUCCAGUCUCUCAGCUUGUGGUUGAUACACAAGGCGAUGAGAUCAUCCCAUGGGAUCUCCAUGACCGAGGGGCCUGCCCCAUGGACUGGGGAGGGGCUCUUGCUCUUCCACCUACAGUAGGUUCUGUGGAGCAGGUUCUCCACCUGGGACUGGAGGACAGGCUGUGUCUGGCGUGAGCUGGGGAUCUGGGAAGCGUACUGGACAACCAUGGAGCACACGGGGAGCCAGGGGGCUGGGGAGAAAGUGCCUCAUUAGUUACA